AUGUUGCAUUGGCUGGUUAUUAGCUUAUCAAUUUGUUUCUCAUGGCAUGGGAUCAGUUUACCUCACCUUGUCUACAUUUUUCCCACAUUUGUUACUGUACGAAUUUGUUUAGUGCACCUCAUUAGGCAUGCGAAUACUGAAACUUCCUCCAGGGAGGUCCUACCUACUGAAUUCAAUUCUGGUACGGCGGUGGCUGUUGGCCCUGGCGAUCGUGACAAGGAAGGCAAGUUGAUCCCGGUUGCUCUCAAGGAAGGUGACCAAGUCCUCCUGCCCGAGCAUGGUGGUCUUCAAGUCAAGCUUGAUCCUGACAAACAAGUCUGA
rnacentral:rRNA from 1 species